UACGAAGGGAGCUAGCGUUGUUCGGAAUUACUGGGCGUAAAGGGCGCGUAGGCGGUCCUAAUAAGUUAGAUGUGAAAGACCUGGGCUUAACCUGGGAAGUGCAUUUAAGACUGUGGGACUAGAGGAUGAGAGAGGAAAGUGGAAUGACAAGUGUAGAGGUGAAAUUCGUAGAUAUUUGUUGGAACACCAGUGGCGAAGGCGACUUUCUGGAUCAUAACUGACGCUAAGGCGCGAAAGCGUGGGGAGCAAACAGG
rnacentral:rRNA from 1 species